rnacentral:lncRNA from 1 species
CCGGGGGCGGGGAGAGGGGCGGGGCUUUCCGCCGAAAGGGGGCGGGGCGCGCGGAGGAGGCGGGGCGAGCGCAGGGGAGGCUGGCGAGCAGAGAGUGCCCUUGUGUCGCCAGCCGGCGAGCGGCUGGGAGCGAGCAGCCGCCCCGCGCCGCCAGCGGGACGGGACGGGACAGCACGGCACGGGACAGCACGGCGCGGGGCGGGACAGGCCGGGCCGCAGGGACAGCCGGACCGACCCGCCGGUAGGGGCGAGGGGAGCCAGCGGGGGCAGCCGGCACCGCUCGGUGGAGGGAAGCAGCCCGGCGGCGGCAGAGCCGGCGGGGAGAGCUGCUCCCCCCACUUCCCUCCCCAAUCCACCCCCGCGACCCCGGCCCUCCUCCUCCUCCUCCUCCUCACCCCACUGGAUACAGCGAGGGAGACACUGCGGCGGCGGAGGCGGCGGCGGCGGCUCCUGCGGGGGGAAGGAAGCGCCCGGAGAGCGGAGCGGCGGGAGGCUGCGGAUCUGCGUGCCUGGCGCCCACCCAGCCCGAGGGGAGCCCCCAGGAUGCGGCUCAAGCCCGGCGCGCUCCUGCGCUUCUACAGCCUCUGCGGGAUCCUCAUGCAAGUGUCCAAAGUGCUCUCAUUACCUGGAUUACAGAGUCAUAAAAUCACCACACUCUUACCUGUGGUCCUGUCAAAGUGAAACAAAAGGAACAGAAAGAAGACUACAUCUCUUUUAUAAGUACGUGUAUAAUAAAAACACUGCAAAAGAAAUAAAGAUUUCUCAAUCGUCCAUUUUUAAGGAAAUGACCAUAAUUUUCCAGUUCCUUGAUGUUUUUUUUACAGUAAUCCAUAAAGGCUUAUUACAUUUCAUGGUAGACCUUUCUGACAGUAAACUUGUAUUGGAUAUUGAAGUGUUGAAAGAGCUUUGA